rnacentral:precursor_RNA from 7 species
GAUAGAUAGAUGCCUUGCUCCUACAAGAGUAAAGUGCAUGCGCUUUGGGACAGUGAGGAAAAUAAUGUUCACAAAGCCCAUACACUUUCACCCUUUAGGAGAGUUGCAGCUUGCUUUAUA